UCAUUUUAUACACUGGCACGGAUGUUGACUACAGUACAGUAUUAAUAAACUUGUCAUCUACUGUGUUUAGUGUAACUGGCAAUAAAGCAGCAGAGGGAAAGGUCUGUAUCUGCAGGCAGCCUGACCUAGAAUGGAGCAAAGCAUUCCUAAGCUUACUCUUGAAUGGAAAAGCAAGGGGCUGUCCAUGUGCUUUGAAGUGACAAAAAAUACACUAGUGCCAGCUGUGGGCACCUUCCAACGUUCUGAAAAAUCACUGAUUUCUGACAACACUGUGGCCUGAGACCGGGCACCUGAGCAUGGGAGAUAAUCACCCCCAAUCCCGCAGAGAGAGAGAGAGAAGAACCAUUGGCUCAGUUGUGAUCAUAUGACAUUCAGCAUCAUGUACCACUCGUAUUGCAAGACAUCGCUCAUUUAUGAAGUUAAAACUUAUUAGAAAUGUUUGCUCAGAACAAGCUACUCGGGAUCCACUGAAGAU